UACGUAGGGUGCGAGCGUUGUCCGGAAUUAUUGGGCGUAAAGGGCUCGUAGGCGGUCUGUCACGUCAGGAGUGAAAACUCGGGGCUCAACCCCGAGCCUGCUUCUGAUACGGGCAGACUGGAGGUAUGCAGGGGAAAACGGAAUUCCUGGUGUAGCGGUGAAAUGCGCAGAUAUCAGGAGGAACACCGGUGGCGAAGGCGGUUCUCUGGGCAUGUCCUGACGCUGAGGAGCGAAAGUGUGGGGAGCGAACAGG
rnacentral:rRNA from 1 species